rnacentral:rRNA from 1 species
AGUGAACGCUGGCGGUAGGCCUAACACAUGCAAGUCGAACGGCAGCACAGUAAGAGCUUGCUCUUACGGGUGGCGAGUGGCGGACGGGUGAGGAAUACAUCGGAAUCUACUUUUUCGUGGGGGAUAACGUAGGGAAACUUACGCUAAUACCGCAUACGACCUACGGGUGAAAGCAGGGGAUCUUCGGACCUUGCGCGAUUGAAUGAGCCGAUGUCGGAUUAGCUAGUUGGCGGGGUAAAGGCCCACCAAGGCGACGAUCCGUAGCUGGUCUGAGUGGAUGAUCAGCCACACUGGAACUGAGACACGGUCCAGACUCCUACGGGAGGCAGCAGUGGGGAAUAUUGGACAAUGGGCGCAAGCCUGAUCCAGUCAUACCGCGUGGGUGAAGAAGGCCUUCGGGUUGUAAAGCCCUUUUGUUGGGAAAGAAAGGCAGCAGGUUAAUACCCCGCUGUUCUGACGGUACCCAAAGAAUAAGCACCGGCUAACUUCGUG